rnacentral:tRNA from 1 species
GCCGUGGCUCAGUGGGAGAGCACCUGCUUUGGCGUACAGAAGUGCCCAGUUUCGAUCCUCGGCAUCUCCA